rnacentral:rRNA from 1 species
AGAGCGCACGGUGGAUGCCUAGGCACUAAUAGGCGAAGAAGGACGCGACUAACAGCGAAAUGCUACGGGGAGCAGUAAGUAGGCAAAGAUCCGUAGGUAUCCGAAUGGGGAAACCCACUAGUUAGAAGAGCUAGUAUCGAAUAAUGAAUACAUAGUUAUUCGAGGCGAACCCGGGGAACUGAAACAUCUAAGUACCCGGAGGAAAAGAGAACAAAAGUAAUUCCCUAAGUAGAGGCGAUUGAAAGGGGAGGAGCCCAGCACCAUGAAGAGUUAGAAAAUCUUUUUAUAGUAGAAUUGUAUUGGAAAAGCAAGACAAAGAAGGUGAAAUCCCUGUAUACGAAAUAAAGAGAUCUCGGUGUCGGAGUAGGGCGGAGCACGAGGAAUUCUGUCUGAAUAAGUGAGGACCAUCUCAUAAGGCUAAAUACUCAUUAGUGACCGAUAGUGAACCAGUACUGUGAAGGAAAGGUGAAAAGAACCCCUGGCGGGGAGUGAAAAGAACCUGAAACCGUGUGCUUACAAACAGUUAGAGCCCGUCAAAGGGUGAUAGCGUGCCUUUUGUAGAAUGAGCCGGCGAGUUACGUUAAUGUGCGAGGUUAAGUUUUAAGGGACGGAGCCGAAGCGAAAGCGAGUCUGAAGAGGGCGAAAUAGUAGAUUGACGUAUACCCGAAACCGGGUGAUCUAGCCAUGAGCAGGUUGAAGCUUGGGUAAAACCAGGUGGAGGACCGAACCAGGGUCUGUUGAAAAAGACUUGGAUGACUUGUGGCUAGGGGUGAAAUUCCAAUCGAACCCGGAGAUAGCUGGUUCUCCCCGAAAUAGCUUUAGGGCUAGCGUUAUGGAGAAGAGUUAUACGAAGGUAGAGCACUGAAUGGGUGAGGGCCUCAUCUCGAGGUACUGAUCUCAAUCAAACUCCGAAUGUCGUAUAAUAUACAUAGCAGUAAGACUAUGGGUGAUAAGGUUCAUAGUCAAAAGGGAAACAGCCCAGACCGCCAGUUAAGGUCCCAAAAUUAUGCUAAGUGGGAAAGGAGGUGGAGUCGCAUAGACAACUAGGAGGUUGGCUUAGAAGCAGCCAUCCUUUAAAGAGUGCGUAAUAGCUCACUAGUCGAGUGAUUCUGCGCCGAAAAUGUAUCGGGGCUAAGCAUAAUACCGAAGCUGCGGGAUUAGACAAAGAGUCUAAUCGGUAGGGGAGCGUACUAAACGCGAAGAAGGUUGACCGGAAGGGCAGCUGGAGAGUUUAGCAGUGAGAAUGCCGGUGUGAGUAGCGAUAAGAUGGGUGAGAAUCCCAUCCGUCGGAAGCCUAAGGGUUCCAGGGGUAAGGCUCGUCCGCCCUGGGUAAGUCGGGACCUAAGGUGAGGCCGAAAGGCGUAGCCGAUGGAUAUCAGGUUGAUAAUCCUGGACCACCGUAGAGCUGAAGGAGUGACGGAGGAGGGAAGUUAGGAUGGACUGGUGGAAUAGUCUAAUGAAGCACAAAGAGGGAUACGUAGGAAAAGCCGCGUAUUGAAACCUUGAAGUGUAAACCGCAAGGCCUAAUGGACCACACUUCCAAGAAAAGCUUCUAGGAGUACUUUAUGGUGCCCGUACCGUAAACGGACACACGUAGGCGAGGAGAGAAUCCAAAGACGCGCGAGAUAAUUCUUGUUAAGGAACUCUGCAAAAUGACCCUGUAACUUCGGGAUAAAGGGGACUCUAGAGAUAGAGGCGCAGAAAAUAGGCCCAAGCGACUGUUUAACAAAAACAUAGGUUUCUGCUAAAGCGAAAGCUGAUGUAUAGGAGCUGACGCCUGCCCAGUGCUGGAAGGUUAAGAGGAGAUGUAAGUCGCAAGGCAAAGCAUUGAAUUGAAGCCCCAGUAAACGGCGGCCGUAACUAUAACGGUCCUAAGGUAGCGAAAUUCCUUGUCAGGUAAGUUCUGACCCGCACGAAAGGCGUAACGAUUUGGGCGCUGUCUCAACAAGAAACUCGGUGAAAUCAUAGUACCUGUGAAGAUGCAGGUUACCCGCGAUCAGACGGGAAGACCCCAUGGAGCUUCACUGCAGCUUAAUAUUGAUAUUGGGUGUGUGAUGUACAGGAUAGGUGGGAGACGAAGAAGCGAGUACGCUAGUAUUCGUGGAGUCAACGUUGGGAUACCACCCUUCAUACAUUUAGUAUCUAACUAGUAUCCAUAAUCUGGGUAUAGAACAGUGUUAGGUGGGCAGUUUGACUGGGGCGGUCGCCUCCCAAAGAGUAACGGAGGCGCCCAAAGGUUCCCUCAGAAUGGUUGGAAAUCAUUCAAAGAGU